UGUUUAGUUCCCUCCAAACUCCCAACUUUGACACUAUGCAAAAAGAAGAUUCCCCAUCACAUCAAACUUGCGGUACAUGUAUGGAGUACUAAAUGUAGACGAAAUCAAAAACUAAUUGCACAGUUUUGUUGUACUUUGCGAGACGAAUCUUUUGAGCCUAAUUAGUCAAUAUUUGGACAAUAAUUCACAAAUACAAACAAAACGCUACAGUUGCGCAUUUAUGGCAAAAUGCCAAUUUUGCCACUCCCAAAUUCGGAACUAAACAAGGCCUUAG
rnacentral:lncRNA from 1 species